GAACAAUUUAUUUCAUCAUUUCAGCCAUUAUUUCUAGGAAAGCCUUUUUGUUAUCUGUAGCAGAUAUUUGUGAUGAAUUGUGCCAUACAUAUCCCCUCUGCACACCUAAUUUCAGUACUGAUGUGGUGGGCAGCUCUGUGCCUCUUUGCCAAUGUCCAUGGUGUCCUACUGUAUCGCUUUCUCAAAAGCUGGGAAAAGUAGCUUAGCCACAUGUAGGUGCAACCCAGAAAUGUGAGGGAGUCUAUGCCCCUCAAGGUAAUCCUCAUCCAAUGGGGGAUAAAAUCUAUGGAUAAAUGUCCCAGCUUCCUUGUCCUCCCGUAGGACAAUUCUAAGCAGUAACCAGCUCGUUAACACGUACUUUACAGUUGUUGUUGUUUUUUUCCCUUUCUUGUCUGUCUCUCUUUCCUUAUUCUUGCACUUCCACUUUCUGUGAUUGCCUCCAAAACAAACUCCCUGAAUCUUAGUCAGUUUGGGGUGUUCUAACAGAAUACCACAGACUGGUGACUUAGGCAGCAAACAUUUAAUUCCCACAAGUUCUAGAGGAUAGAAGUUCAAGAUGAGGGUGCCAGCAUGGUUAGGUCUUUCUUGGAGGCCCUCUUCCUGGUUUACAGAUGGCUGCCUUCUUGUUAUAUCCUCAUUUGCCAGAAGGAGAGAGAGAUAUCAUGUCUCUCUCUCUUUAUAAGCUCAUUAAUCUCAUCAAGUGGACCCCACCCUCAUGACCUAAUCUAACCCUAAUUACCUCAUAAAAGCCCCACCUUGGAAUGCCAUCACAUUGAGGAUUAGAGUUUCAACAUAUCAAUGCUGGGGUUAAACACACAUUCCACCCAUAGCAUCCUGCAUCAAGUCCUCAUCUCAGUGUCAACUUUAAGUGCCUGGAAGAACCAGAAUCCUAGGAGCAUGGAAGACUUAAUUCAUUCAACAGUAACCACCUCUUUUUAGCCUAAGACUUUGGCAGCCGAACAACAGAACAGGAAUUAUGUCAGCUUUUCUGCUUAGCAUGAGCUCUGCCCCAGAACCAAUGACAUAAAAUACGUAUGUUUGCUUUCCCUGCCACAAAGUUGCGACACAUUAUCAAAGCUUUACAAAGUCACUCUAUCUUAGGACACCCCUAGACAACUUGUUUCCAUCUUACUUCUGGGACAAAAAUAUUUACUGUAUCCUGCUUUCAUUGUCUUUGUGAAUAUUACAUUAAAUGUUGACAUGUGCUUGGCAAUUCAAAUUCAUUGGUUAAAUGUUUUUCUCCUCUCAAAAUUAUUUUUAAUAUAAUAGUCUAAUAAAUAUGAAUCCAAGAUUCCUUACUAAACAUGUGACUUUGCCUUGUCCAACCUCAGUAUUUUGUUCUAUAAAACGCAAGUAACUAGGCAACUCCCAUUUUAGGUUGUAAAAAUUGCAAAAAUUACAAAAAUGUGUUCAGUGCAGUCCAUGGCAAAAAAAAAAGAACUUCUAAAUGUCACAUAUUAUUAUUAAAA
rnacentral:lncRNA from 1 species